UGGACGACGGGCUACUCUGGUGCAUACUGCGGACCUCUACCCACGACCCAGCUUCCCCAGCUUCACCGAAAGCGACAACGGGAAAUCCUCAAUGCAGGAGACGAAGCGACAUCAAGCGGGGUCGGGCGCCCACGCAGCGGCAGAAUACGGUGGGCGGUCUGAGCUCGCCCCCUCUGGCCGCCACAACGCAACGCUGGAGGCGGCGCCACAGGGUUGUCGCCACAACCUGUGGCGGAAGCAAUGCAGCGAGCCGAGUUGCAUACCACCAGAGCUGAGCACCUGCUGAAGACGGACAGAUGCCCAGCCACGAGGCGGAUUCCAAGCAUUGACCCAGUGGUGGCGCUGCCGUGGUGCACAUGCGGAGCGAAGCACUUCCGACCACACUGCUACGACCGUUUUAGCUGACGUCAUCUGCUAACUUUAGCUGGAGCUGAAGCACACUAUGAUCUGCUUGACAUAACGUGUCAUAAUCAUUACGUUUCGUUGCGUCAUACCAUAUAUUUGCAUCACAAUACGAUUUUGUUGACUUGUGCACAAUGAAUACAUUUCUUCAUGCCAAAGUGUUCCUUAAGGUACUCUACACUUCAAACCGUAUUUAUAUUUUGUCUCUCUUCGGACCAGUGAAAUAAUCUUUAUCACUAAUAACUGAGAUGGGGUGAAACCAUUACUAUCUCACAGUAGGUAACAACAAACAGUACUUUGUGUUACUGAACCGUGCAAGUAAAUUCACCAAGUUCAGCGGUGUGCAAAAUUUAAGGACGGAAGUAACUUUCACGUGAUUCGUUACUGCGACAUAACAUAGGUCGAUAAAACGUGGACCAUAUAUGGAAAGAAUUGCU